rnacentral:ncRNA from 1 species
UAACCCGUGUUGAAAGGCACGGCUGAACUGGCAGGAGUCAGCAGAUGUCAUAGUACCUGUGAGGAGACGUCCAAACAGGGAAGGAC